CGAACAAUAUCUAUUAGUGGUGGAUUUCUUUUUGCCUUUAACAAGCAAACACGAUGUAUUUUUUUAUUAUUAUUAUACAUCAUUAUAUUAUAUUUAGGGUGGCUAGGAUGUUUUAACAUGACACUUUUUGAUUCAUUUUGGAUCAAUUAGGUGGCUACAGAUCUAUAGUAUUUGAUAAUAUUUUGCCCAGUUGGAUGUUAGUGGGUUGUAGUACUAGGUUUUCUUUUUCCUUUUCUUGGAUUUUUUAGAUUGGUUUAGCCUAAAUUUGAUUCUUUUAGCCGAGACAUACUUAUUUUCAAAUGCCUCAUGAAGUUAUAGCCGAGAGAUAACUACCUCCUUUAUGAGCAACUUUGGUGCAAUGAGGCAUUUAAGGAAGAGCAAUUGAGUAAAUGCUAGUUUGGAGUUUAGUGAUUCAAAUCUGUGCUCGAUAUUCUCAAACAUUGGUACAUUCGUAGAUGGGGAGAAGGGUUUUAUGAAGAAGAAUAACAAAUAAAUUUGGUCCACAGUCAAAUGUGAAAUCUCAAUGGUCCAAUCCAUCAGCUAUUAUUGCUUGCUUAGUUGCAAGAUGAGAUGAGGUAGUCGCUGCAUGGCCAUCAGCGCAGCGUUGAAAUGUAAAAUCAAUGGGCAGUGAAGAUUGAAGAAGAGUGAAACAAAUGCAAAGUGGAGAGUAGGGGAGUAAAUGCGGUCCCUUUGCAGCAGCCAGGCUAGGGAUGGACAGCCUAAAGUUGUAUAGUGGAAGAAUAGGGCGUCCUUUGGAUGUGAUGUGGAUACUACUGUAUUGUUCCUUUCACUGUCUGCUACACUCUGUCCUCUUACUCAGAACUUCUCUGCUUUCUCUCAUCUCUUGUUCUUGUCGGAUAACUUAUGGCUCACCCACCCUUUCCUACCCAAAUUUAUGCUAUCUCUCUCUCCUUUGCACUUGCCUCUAUUAAAUGUUCAUCUCUCUCUCUCUCUCUUAGUUACUUGUGGAGUGGUGUUGUGUGUUGGGUGGAAGUGGAUCAAAGUAACAGAAAAAUCUGGCAACUGGGUCUUUAUUGCAUGUGAUUUUUACUCCUUUGCUGCAAUGGAUCCAUGAGUUUUGGGCAUCAAUGACUUGAUGACUACCAUGAAUUUGCCUACUGUUUGGGCCACCUCAUUACUUAUUGUGCUUCUUCAUCUUCUUCUUUUUCUCUCCGCCUCUUCCCCUUCCAGGGGUAUAUUUUUCGAAGACAAAACCAGGCUUGGAUCCACCCCACCAAGCUGCCACAACAAGUGCAACGAGUGUCAUCCAUGCAUGGCGGUGCAAGUUCCUAGUAUGCCUCGGAUGGAUUCGCAUUCGCCCUCGGCCUUGCCAUUGGGAUUUUUUGACUCAUCCACACAAGGGAACAGAUACUCAUUUUACAAGCCAUUGGGUUGGAAAUGCCGCUGUGGGAACCACUUCUUCAAUCCUUGAGCCAUAUUUGCAUGUCCAAAACACAGGGUUGGCCUCCCAUUCUUCUGGUUUUUGUAAAUGACAUUGAAUUUGUUUCUUUUUUUCAUUAUAAGGAUGGAAUUCUUUGUUCAGAGUGAAAGCAGGUCGUUUGGUUUAUGCAUUUAUUGUACAUAAACCUUCUACCCUUAACCCCCCCUAAGUUCUUCUAGUUCUUACUUGGUUCCA